rnacentral:lncRNA from 1 species
AAAGAGGAAGGAUUAGACUUCAUAAGCUUCUUAAUAUGAUUCAGUCACCACCCAUGAAGCAUUCUUGCCAAAAGGGACCUGCACCUGCAUCUCACAAAUUAAAAAUAAUAAUAUCUAUUUCAUAGAACUGUUGUCAGGGCUAAUAAGAGUAUUCCACGUCCAAGAGCUGUGCACACAACAUGGCCCACAGUAAGCAUUCAAAAACAGUUGGCCAGGCACAGUGGCUCAUGCCUGUAAUCCCAGCACUUUGGGAGGCUGAGGUGGGC